rnacentral:misc_RNA from 1 species
GUUUCAUUGCUUAAUUUAUUCUGGGUUUGCUUGUUUCCAGCCGUUCAUUUUUCUCUCUAUCAAUAGAUAGCCUUUUAUAUUCCUUGUCUUUUCUUUUUAUUCUCGAGUGAAGAACUUAAAUAGAUUUGGGUUUUGAUUUGGAGAUUAAAAGAUGAUGAAGAUGACAAUGGAGGGAAUGAUGGAUAAGGGAGUAUUGGAUGAUAUAAUCAGGAGGCUAUUGGAUGGAAGAGGAGGCAAGCAGGUGCAGCUAUCUGAGGGAGAGAUCCGUCAAUUAUGUGUUAAUGCACGCCAAAUCUUCCUCUCUCAGCCUAAUCUCCUUCAGAUAAAAGCUCCCAUUCGCAUCUGUGGUGAUAUACAUGGACAAUAUCAAGACCUCCUGAGGCUAUUUGAGU